AGUAAAAGUCGUAACAAGGUUUCCGUAGGUGAACCUGCGGAAGGAUCAUUAUCGAGUUUUGAAACGGGUUGUAGCUGACCUCAAUUGGGGUAUGUGCACGCCUGGCUCAUUCCACUCUCAAACCCCUGUGCACUUAUUGUAGGCUUGGUGGGAUAGGCUGACUUUCAUUAGGUCGGUCUUGAAAGCUUCGCCUAUGUUUCAAUACAAACGCUUCAGUUUAGAAUGUAAUCAUUGCUAACAAGCAAAUUAAAUACAACUUUCAGCAACGGAUCUCUUGGCUCUCGCAUCGAUGAAGAACGCAGCGAAAUGCGAUAAGUAAUGUGAAUUGCAGAAUUCAGUGAAUCAUCGAAUCUUUGAACGCACCUUGCGCUCUUUGGUAUUCCGAAGAGCAUGCCUGUUUGAGUGUCAUGGUAUCAUCAACCUUCAACACUUUUGUGAUUGAAGGCUUGGAUUUGGAGGUUGUGUCGGUGCAUUCGUAUCGACUCCUCUGAAAUGUAUUAGCGUGAAUCUUACGGAUCGCCUUCGGUGUGAUAAUUACUGCGCCGUGGACGUGAAGUAUAACAGUGUUCGUGCUUACAAUCGUCUUUAACAGAGACAACACUUUGACAAUCUGACCUCAAAUCAGGUAGGGUUACCCGCUGAACUUAAGCAUAUCAAUAAGCGGAGGA
rnacentral:rRNA from 1 species